UUGACUUAGCAGUACUAUUCAUAAGAUUUCCAUCCCAUAGACAUUUAAAAAUAAAUAUAUUUUCCUCUUUUAGAAUGAUAUGCUUCGGUCUCUUUUGUGGCUCUUGUUUUCCAAAAUAGUGUCCAGAAUCCUCAGCUCUGAGGAUGUCAAAUGUGCGUGUGCACACAUGCGUAUGCACACGGUAUACACAGAAAAAUCCUAGCUAUGUGCUCAUUUCCUUGAACUUUAACCUCAUCUUGCUAAUGGGCAGAUCUCCUCAUCUGUGAUGCAUCUAACCAGGAAGUACUGGAGAUAUUUUUGUAACUAUUUUGCAAUAUAUUGUUGCAUCUUUCUUCCUUACAAACAAUGUUGUGAACUUUAAAUAUCAUACAAUUUUUUUAAAAAGCCAAAGAAGAAACUGGAAUUUCAUGAUCCCAGAUUGGAUUGUAGCUGCCAUCCUCAACCAAGCAAAGGCCCAGAUACUGGAGGUGGAAUCUUUUGGACAUAUGGAUGCUUGUAUAUGGAUGCUUGCGCCAUAGUACAUGGAGAUGGUGCCUUGCAUACAGAAGAGAACCAGAGCUUUUAUCAGGAAUAACAUUAUGCAAAUGACUAUGCAAAUGUCAACCAGAGGAGUAACUGGGAAAGAAGUUCAGAUAAAACCUUCAGAACAUUAUCCAAAGUUGGCUGAAAAAAAUAACUGCACAUUUUAAAUGAUGGGCGUUCUCUAUGUUGUCCAGCCUGGCCUUGAACUCACUUGAAGCUUCCUGCCUCAGCCUCUCAAGUUGCUGGGAUUACAGAUGCCAAUUGCCUGAAUGUUGCCUGUUCCAACCGUUAAACAUCACAGUACGUCCCUGGAGUGAGCCUCUCGUGUCAAAUGCUUGUGGGUGUUUCUGAAGACAGAGUGUGGAACUUUCUUGAACUUUCCAGAAUCACAAAGACACAAUCUAAUAGAAACUUAAAAUGGCAGGUGUUGAAGUUACUCAAUAAGCGUUUGUACCAUCCACAGUCCAGUUGUGCUAAAGCAGUGGAUGGGUUGCCAAGAGACCAAAGAAGACACCCAGAGGUGGGAUAUGAGACAUAAGCUUCAGUGAAAAGUGCUUAUGUGGAAGAUCCAGAGGCAAUGGCUGGACAGGUGCACCUCUGUUUCACACAGUGCCUCUAGUGCUUCACCAGAAAAUAGCAUCUCCAUCCCCCACAACACUUUGCUAGGAGGGGUGGAUGAAUGAGCACUUCCCUAUCCAUGGUGCUUUGGUCAACACCAGUUAGCACCGGGAAUGGGGCUUUCUAGGCUAACAAAAGCAACUUCAGUUUAGCUUGCCUUUUCCCACUGUAUGACCAGCAUCCCAAGGACCUUGGGUUGCACAGGAGAAAGCAGCUUUGAUGUGCAUGGGAGAAAGCAGCUUGCUGCAGAUAACACUAACUUGCCCUAAUUCCCAGCAUACCUGGGAGAAAGCCAGUGUCCUUCAAGAUAACGUGUGUCUGGACAUUUCAGCCGGGAUGACUCACUCUCAUUGUUCUCUAGGUUCUUGGGAGUAGGGAGGGCACUUCAGGGACGCAGUAACAUCCUGUCCUCCUUUUCUCCAAGGAUGACAGAACACCAUUUGGGACAUCUGCUUGUGUUUUCUGUAACUCACUGUUAGGAUACCUUAAUAUAGACAAUGACUUCAUAUCUGUGUACAGUAUUGGUGGACAAUAUGAGCUGCUUACGCUUUGGAGGACCCCCACUAGGAAUGCACUGUGGGAGUGGUUAUGUGAUGUCAGAGAGACACAAGGCAGAGACCCACAUUCCCAGAAGCGAGAGCUGCUGCAACACACCAGCAGUUUUCUUAGGUUUUGCUCCAUACCAGAGGUUUUCUAAAUGGAUAUAUUCUUAGAAAUACAUUUAUGUUUAAUAGAAAUGAUUUAUAGAUAAAAUUGGCAAUGAUAAAGGUGGUUUUGCAGAGAAUAUUGCCCAAGUAUUCCUGUUUUUGUGCAUACUGGUGUAAGGACCUCACAGCCCCAUGCCUGACAGCCAUCAGAAUGGAACCCUGGACUUUUGACUAAACCAGUAGAUUCAGAUUUGGAAGAUUUUAGUCUUUCAUUCAUGGACUCAUCAGAGCUCCUCAAGGGAUAGAGAUCUGGAACAUCGUCAAGCUUACACAAGAGUUUCUAUGACAGCUUCUAUGGUGCCUUCCUUGUAUGUGUGGCAGAAUUCCAUCUGAGACUUACUCACUAGGUGUCACCACAACUGGUAGCAAGGGUAUGGGAGAAAAGACCUAAGCCUCUCACCUCCCUCUAGUUAUUGAAAUGUAUAGGUUGAAUUAGUGCUUAAAACUACCAUUCCUUGGGGCUGGGAUUGUGGCUCAGAGGUAGAGCACUCACCUAGCACGUGCAAGGCGCUGGGUUCGAUCCUCAGCACCACAUAAAAAUAAAUAAAAUAAAAUAAUGGUAUUCUGUCCAACUACAACUAAGAAAAAAAAAUUUUUUAUUGGUUGUUCAAAACAUUACAAAGCUCUUGACAUAUCAUAUUUCAUACAUUAGAAUCAAGUUGGUUAUGAACUCCCAAUUUUAUCCCAAAUACAGAUUGCAGAAUCACAUCUGUUACACAUCCACAUUUUUACAUAAUGCCCUAUUAGUAACUGUUGUAUUCUGCUACCUUUUCUAUCCUCUACUACCCCCCUCCCCUCCCCUCCCAUCUUCUCUCUCUACCCCAUCUACUGUAAUUCAUUUCUCUCCUUGUUUAUUUUCCCAUUCCCCUCACAACCUCUUAUAUGUAAUUUUGUAUAACAAUGAGGGUCUCCCUCCAUUACCAUGCAAUUUCCCUUUUCUCUCCCUUUCCCUCCCACCUCAUGUAUCUGUUUAAUGAUAAUCUUUUCUUCCUGCUCUUCCUCCCUGCUCUGUUCUUAGUUGCUCUCAUUAUAUCAAAGAAGACAUUUAGUAUUUGUUUUUAGGGAUUGGCUAGCUUCACUAAGCAUAAUCUGCUCUAGUGCCAUCCAUUUCCCUGCAAAUUCCAUGAUUUUGUCAUUUUUUAGUGCUGCGUAAUACCCCAUGGUGUAUAAAUGCCACAUUUUUUUUAUCCAUUCAUCUAUUGAAGGGCAUCUGGGUUGGUUCCACAGUCUAGCAAUUGUGAAUUGUGCUGCUAUGAACAUAGAUGUGGCAGUAUCCCUGUAGUACGCUCUUUUAAGGUCUUCAGGGAAUAGUCCGAGAAGGGCAAUAGCUGGGUCAAAUGGUGGUUCCAUUCCCAGCUUUCCCAGGAAUCUUCAUACUGCUUUCCAAAUUGGCCACACCAAUUUGCAGUCCCACCAGCAAUGUACAAGAGUACCCUUUUCCCCACAUCCUCUCUAGCACUUGUUGUUGUUUGACUUCAUAAUGGCUGCCAAUCUUACUGGAGUGAGAUGGUAUCUUAGGGUGGUUUUGAUUUGCAUUUCUCUGACUGCUAGAGAUGGUGAGCAUUUUUUCAUGUACUUGUUGAUUGAUUGUAUGUCCUCCUCUGAUUGGUAGGUUUAAAAAAACCUACCAAUCCUUGAGUUUGGGCUGAUGUAGGACGUGCUUCAGUAAAUGUGAUGUUAAUGUACAUGACAAGACAUGCUUGAGAUAUGCUUGCUCAGUGAGACUCACCCUUUCUAUCUUCACUAAGACCCCUACAGAAGCAUGUUCUGGGUAGCCCUCUGGGCCCAGAAAGAUGAGAAACAGAUGGAGCAUACCUGGACCUACCUGCUGCUCAGAGUCUUAUGUUACACAGCAAUGGCUGACUGGUAUAUAUGCUACCAAUAUUUACUCACCAAACCUGAUGACAAUGAAUGCUGAAACAGACUAGGUACCAGUGACUUUAAUAAAUAAUAAAUAAUGCUUUUUAAAAUUAUUAUAAUGAAUUUGGAAGGUAGGCAUUACUUUCCCCACUAUAUAUAUAUAAAGCAGUCAGAGCUAAGGGAGAAAAACAACUUGACCUAAGUCACACAAUUAGGAAGCACAGGACUGGAGUUAGCACCAAUGCAGAUUGUGAAAUCCAUCUCCUUUGACUUCUACCACAUUGCUCACUCUUCCUGAUUUGCUUAGAGUGAGCUGAAUCUUAGCUAAAGCAGUAUCCAUGCACACAGCAAGAAAGAAAAACACUGAAUCCCACGAUCCCAGUAAGGGUCAUUUAUGUGCACAUUUGCCUGUUUGACACAUUCAAUGAGCACCUAUUAUAUGUCAGUGCAUUAUGGUAUGUCCUGGGGAUUUAGUGGUAAGCUUGAUAGAUACUGUUCCUGUCCUUGUAGGGCUUACAUCUUAUUAUGGCUGUGAGAUACACACACACACACACACACAC